rnacentral:rRNA from 1 species
UACAGGGGGGGCAAGCGUUGUUCGGAAUUACUGGGCGUAAAGGGCUCGUAGGUGGCCAACUAAGUCAGACGUGAAAUCCCUCGGCUUAACCGGGGAACUGCGUCUGAUACUGGAUGGCUUGAGUUUGGGAGAGGGACGCGGAAUUCCAGGUGUAGCGGUGAAAUGCGUAGAUAUCUGGAGGAACACCGGUGGCGAAGGCGGCGUCCUGGACCAACACUGACACUGAGGAGCGAAAGCCAGGGGAGCAAACGGG